rnacentral:rRNA from 1 species
UACGUAGGGGGCAAGCGUUGUCCGGAUUUAUUGGGCGUAAAGAGCGUGUAGGCGGCCAGACAGGUCCGUUGUGAAAACUCGAGGCUCAACCUCGAGACGUCGGCGGAAACCAUCUGGCUAGAGUCCGGAAGAGGAGAGUGGAAUUCCUGGUGUAGCGGUGAAAUGCGCAGAUAUCAGGAAGAACACCCGUGGCGAAGGCGGCUCCCUGGGACGGUACUGACGCUGAGACGCGAAAGCGUGGGGAGCGAACAGG